UACGAGGGAUCCUAGCGUUGUUCGGAAUCACUGGGCGUAAAGGGCGCGUAGGCGGGGAGGUAAGUCGGGUGUGAAAUCCCUCGGCCCAACCGAGGAACUGCGCCCGAGACUGCUUCUCUUGAGUCCCGGGGAGGAAGGUGGAAUUCCCGGUGUAGCGGUGAAAUGUGUAGAGAUCGGGAGGAACACCGGUGGCGAAGGCGGCCUUCUGGACGGUGACUGACGCUGAGGCGCGAAAGCGUGGGGAGCAAACGGG
rnacentral:rRNA from 1 species